rnacentral:rRNA from 1 species
UACGUACUGUGCGAACGUUAUUCGGAAUCACUGGGCUUAAAGGGUGCGUAGGCGGCCAAUUAAGUAGGGUGUGAAAGGCUUCGGCUCAACCGGAGCAUUGCGCUCUAGACUGAUUGGCUCGAGUGAGAUAGGGGUGUGCGGAACUUCCAGUGGAGCGGUGAAAUGUGUUGAUAUUGGAAGGAACGCCGGUGGCGAAAGCGGCACACUGGGUCUUUUCUGACGCUGAGGGACGAAAGCUAGGGGAGCGAACGGG